CGAGUUGGCCGGGCAGUCGCUGUGUGGAGAUUAUCAGCAUUAGCUGGUGUAUCUAUGUGGAGGAAAGUCCGGGCUCCAAAGGGUAGGGCGCCAGAUAACGUCUGGGGGGCGAAAGCCUACGGAAAGUGCAGCAGAGAGCAGACCGCCUAAGUCUUCAGCUGAAGACCGGUAAGGGUGAAAGGGUGCGGUAAGAGCGCACCGCAUGACUGGCAACAGUUCAUGGCACGGUAAACCCCGCCUGGAGCAAGACCAAAUAGGGACCCUAUAGGUGUGUACCCGCACUGGGUUCGGGUAGGUUGCUUGAGGUGUCUGGUGACAGGCAUCCCAGAUGAAUGAUUGCCCAGGCUGGUCAGAAUUUGUUCUGACUGGCUGGACAGAACCCGGCUUACAGGCCAACUCGCUUU
rnacentral:RNase_P_RNA from 1 species